rnacentral:rRNA from 1 species
CAUAUCAAUAAGCGGAGGAAAAGAAACCAACAGGGAUUGCCCUAGUAACGGCGAGUGAAGCGGCAACAGCUCAAAUUUGAAAUCUGGCUCUUUCAGAGUCCGAGUUGUAAUUUGCAGAGGGCGCUUUGGCUUUGGCAGCGGUCCAAGUUCCUUGGAACAGGACGUCACAGAGGGUGAGAAUCCCGUACGUGGUCGCUAGCUAUUGCCGUGUAAAGCCCCUUCGACGAGUCGAGUUGUUUGGGAAUGCAGCUCUAAAUGGGAGGUAAAUUUCUUCUAAAGCUAAAUAUUGGCCAGAGACCGAUAGCGCACAAGUAGAGUGAUCGAAAGAUGAAAAGCACUUUGGAAAGAGAGUCAAACAGCACGUGAAAUUGUUGAAAGGGAAGCGCUUGCAGCCAGACUUGCUUGCAGUUGCUCAUCCGGGCUUUUGCCCGGUGCACUCUUCUGCAGGCAGGCCAGCAUCAGUUUGGGCGGUGGGAUAAAGGUCUCUGUCAUGUACCUCUCUUCGGGGAGGCCUUAUAGGGGAGGCGACAUACCACCAGCCUAGACUGAGGUCCGCGCAUCUGCUAGGAUGCUGGCGUAAUGGCUGUAAGCGGC